AUGUUCUCCCUGUCGAGGAACUCCAGAGCCACAGAGACGUUCUCCAGCUGCAUCUGUCUGAACGUGGGGCGCUGGUUGUACUUGCGGAACAUCUUCUUCUGGCUGAGCACCUCCAGAAGCGCGAUCAGCCGGAGCCCAUCGCUCAGGAUGUGGGGUUGCUAUUGCUGCUGUGCACAUGGAAACCAAACAGAAAAUAUGAGCAGCUAAGUUGUGUUUUAUACUUUAAACACAAAUAAUUAUAACACUGCAAAGGACAGGGGCUAGUUGUCACAUUUUUACUGCAGCGAAUAUUCCUCAGGGCAGGUUUAUGUUUGACAGAGAAUUUAAGCACAUAAAGUCUUGCAUAAAAAAAUGGAAAAAAAGAAAAAUCUACUGAACAUUUCUAUCACUGUUGCCCAGGAAAAACGGUACAGUUCAUUGCAAGCGGGCUGACUAUAAGUCGGGUCACACUAUCUGAGCUGAGUUAUCACAAUGGAGCCAGCAAAAUGUAAAUAAAAAUGUGACAACUUGCCCGACCCUCACAUUUAUAAAAAAAAUAAAAUAAUUAUCUCUAUCUACACAAACACAGUCCAGCCUUUCAAAUAAAAUAGGCUUUAAUUCAUAGCUGACUCGUCUGAAUGUAUGCCAGUGUGGUUUUAUUAUGCUCGCUUAUUUAACCAACAGCUAUAGCAAAAAUAUAGUGAUACUGUAAUUUUAUUUUGAUGGACAUAAUUCACCAAAUUAACCCCAAUUUAAGACGGUUUUGAAAUGUGUUUAAAUCAACAUACACAACAACUGCUAGAGAAAACACACAUUUAUUUGGACUUUU
rnacentral:lncRNA from 1 species